GGGGUCGUAGCUCAGUUGGUAGAGCAGCGGACUCUUAAUCCGAAGCGCGAAGGUUCGAAUCCUUCCGGCCCCACCA
rnacentral:tRNA from 1 species